UCUUUUUUAACAUGUUCUUGUGUAAAACCAUGCAGUUACAGUUCAUAGCUUAAGAUUGCAAAAUCAAGCAACUGCACUAAUUUUGUUUGUUCUAUAUUCACUUAAGUUAUUCUCUGAAUAAAAUAUUCACUUAAGCUACUCUAACAAAGAAAGAAAUCUACUUCAGAUUGUCGAAACAUUUAAAUACAAGUUAUUAGUAACAGGCAUGUGCAUACUGACUGUUAAACUAAAUUUUGGAUCCAACAAAAAAUUCAUGUAUCCUUGAAUCUGAAAUAAGUCUCAGCAACAACCUCGGAAGCUGUAGUUUCAGUUGAAGCAAUAGACGUUCUCGAGGUAUACCCUGAUGUCCUCUCUUGAAAGCUCAUAGAAUUUCGGUCAUGUAAUCUUCUCUCUAUGUCAAUAGUCUGCAUGGUGAUAUUUUAAUAAGGAAAGAUGAGAUUCACAAACACUUAUCCAAGAUAACAUGACAUUUACACAACACGUCCUUCUUGAACUUCCAAUGACUGCAAUUUUCUAACAGAGCAGAUAAGUGAAUAGAAAAGUCUCCUAUUCACUUCUUAUUGCGGAGGAAAACAUUAUCUUAUAUAUGCUUGACUGGACGUCUGUACACUAUAGAAUAUAAUCAGCUAGAAAAGCUUUAGAAACAGAUAUUUAUUUACUGAGAAUAAAAAAUAAAUCUUUUGAAAUUAAGAAAGGAACUCUUUUGAAGUUAAUCAACAUCAGAUAUUAGUGCAGUUGUUUGAAGAUAAAUGGUUUGAUGUCUCUU
rnacentral:lncRNA from 1 species